CUUUGUCCCCUAAUUCUGUAAAGCAGUCUGUAGGGUGUAGAUAAAUUUACACAGAGCUGAAAAUUGGUAGAAAAUCAGGCGCCAAGGUCAACUGUCCACCGAGAUGGGAAGAUGCAAAAGGGUGAAGGAGUUGAUCCCUCUUGUCUCCUGUGCAUUUCUUCUCUGCUGGGGCUUCAAUGAUGCCUUUGCUGCAGAACCCCAGAUGGGUUCCGCCCGUGUUGUCUUUCAGAUUCAUUCACCGUAGAUUCUUGAUGAAAUGUUGAUUUCCAGCUCUUUGGGAAUAUCAAGUUAGUUAAGUGAUGUAUUGUGCCGAAUUUUCGCGACACUCGGAUCGAGAUUCAAUUUUUAGUUCGCGUUUUCUUUGCCUCUUUCCAAAUAAGAAAGGAAAGGAUGAAAAAAGAGAUGGAAAAGAAAAGGAAUGCCUGAGAAGAGGAAUUCUUUCUAUGGGAAGGUAUUCUGAUCCUGACAGUGCUCAAUCCUCAUUUUCUGUACUCCUUGGAGAUGCACCUCACCUUGAUGGCCAAUAUGCAAUAUUCGGGAAACUUACUAAAGGUGACGAAACAUUAAGAAAGCUUGAGCAACUCCCUACUAAGAAGGAAGGGAUUUUUGUAAUGCCUACUGAACGCAUCACCAUCUUGUCAUCAUAUUAUUAUGACACCGAGAUGGAAAUAUGUGAACAAGAUAGGUCAUUGUUGAAACGGAGGCUUGCUGCAUCUGCUAUCGAAAUUGAGAGACAGGUAUCCGCUCUACAAAAUUUUACACAAGUCAACAUGCAUGUCAAAAUCUACUCCUCAACGAGGAUUUAAUUAACAUUGCAGAGAAUGAAAUGCUUUCCUUAACCGAGAAAAAAUGAAGUCAGUCCAGUGACACUCAUCUGAGGAAAGCUGAAAGCCCUGAUGCGGUGGAUAAUCAGAAAGCUAUCCGCGAGAAGGUAUUCGAAUCUGAUGAUCAAGAUGUAGGGGGAGAGGGAAUGAAGCAUAACCUAGAAGACCUUGGAGCUGACUGGCUUUGGAACGAACAAAUACCGAAUUUUUUCUUCUGUAAUUAGAACUUUUAACUGGUUAAUAUGCUUUUUCACUCAAGGGAUGCUAUUUGGCCUGUUGAGAGACGAUUGUCGUCACAGGAAGGUUUCAAUAUUCGUGACCUACUAACCUUGAUGCAUGAUUAAUUUCACAGAAAUUUUCCGCAGAGAGUAGGGUGCUAGAAGGUGCCUUCCCGGAGAAUGUGAUUGAGCUUUUUCCGUUCCACACACAUCCCUGAAAUAUGCGAUGGUGAGAUGUAUACUAUAGCAGCAUGUGGUGCCUUGUC